AUGGCCGGAAUUGUCAACAAGGAGUUUGCUGAGUUGCCCCAGACGGGGCUGAACUACCUGUCAUUGUCCUCGGACUAUGAGAUCUUUCUCCAGGGCAAAACCCUCUUGAGGACGAUCGGUAAGGGGGCCCAGCUGCCCCCCACUGAUCCCAAGUUCGAAACUGAGAAUGCGCAGGCUCUGCAUUUUCUCCGUCAUCACCUGUCACCUACUCUGAAAGAUGAGUAUAUGGCUGAGCGGAGUGCUUCUGGCCUUUGGACCGCUCUUAAGCAGCGGUUUGAGCGGCUGAAGUACACUGUGAAGCCACAUGCAGAGACAGAAUGGAUCCGUCUGAGGUUUGCGGACUUCAAGAUGAAGAUUGAGAAAACCAUAUCCACUUUCCACCCUGACGCGGUCCAGUCCGCACGGAACUACCGCCAGGGAAACUACACGAGGUUCUCAGAGUUGAUUGACGUCCUCCAGGUGGCAGAGGUGCAGGACGAGGUUCUGAAAAAAAACUUUGUCGCGCAACCACUUGGGGGGAGUUCUCGCCAGGAGGUGAACGCUCUCAAAGUCCACAAGCCUCAACCGAAGAAGAGGGUCCGCAAGGCGGCUAAGCAGCAAAAGCCAGGCAAAGGGGGGCAGAGGCCUCAUGGCUGCUUCCGGUGUGGCUCGGUGGAGCAUUUCUCCCACCAGUGUCGCGCACCAUAGGAGGUCGUUGAUGCAUAUAAGGCUUGGAAGGCGCGUGAGACGCACCUCGCCGUGGUUCAGGUUGCUACAGUGCGCCUUUGUUUUGCUCCCGAAACCGAAUAA
rnacentral:rRNA from 1 species